GGAGCCUUUGCCGGAACCUGAGCCUGCUGCCAUCUUGGUUUUGGAUUUCUUGACUCCAGAACCAUGAGAAAAUAAAUGUCUGCUGUAAGCAAAGUGACUUUUACAAAAUGCUCUCCUUGGGCAUCACCUUUGCUGUCAUCUUGCUUCAAGACUCAGUUCUUGCCAUGGUGAGUGAGCACCUUCCGAAGCAGCACCUGCUAAGGAACAACUGCUUUGGGAGAGCUCAAUGUGACAUCCUUGGAAACAGAUGAGCUGAAGAAAGACAGUUAUUUUAUUGGGAGGACAAAUUCAAGGCCUGGCAGAAGUGAGAGGAGUGCUGAGAAGAAUCAGAGGGCAAGCAACGAAGGAACCAGGGACAUAAAAAUCUGACGGAUUGUGCCACAUACUGGAAGACUGUGAAAUCUAUCCCCGCACUCUGAGAACCAGAUUGAAAGAAGAUAUGCAUUUCAUUUAACCUGGGAACUGGGCUAUCAUAUUGAUAGGACAUCAAAGGAGCCACAGCAGUGCAACUAAAGAAACUGGGAAAAGAAGAUGUCCAGAACUGCCUUAGAAGAGGCAAUAAUGAUGAGCUGCUUCACCUCUUGAAGAUUUUAGCUAGAAUAUAAUUGAACAAUUUCAAGACAUUUCCAAGGUCAGCAAAACUUUGCCCAUACUGAGGACCUGGAGAGAAUGGAUGAAAUAACAAAUUGGAACACAGAAAUCUUCCUUUUCUCUUCUUGGCUCCAGCCUCAAUUCUAAUCAAGAAACACACCCCUGGGGAAAACAACAACAACAACAACAACAACAAAAACAACAACAAACCAUGCCCUAAGCAACGGAUAGGAG
rnacentral:lncRNA from 1 species